GGUAGUUUAACCUUCGGGGGGACGCUCACCACUUUGUGGUUCAUGACUGGGGUGAAGUCGUAACAAGGUAGCGCUAGGGGAACCUGGCGCUGGAUCACCUCCUUAUACGAUGAU
rnacentral:rRNA from 1 species